rnacentral:rRNA from 1 species
AUUGAACGCUGGCGGCAGGCCUAACACAUGCAAGUCGAGCGGAUGAAGGGAGCUUGCUCCUGGAUUCAGCGGCGGACGGGUGAGUAAUGCCUAGGAAUCUGCCUGGUAGUGGGGGAUAACGUCCGGAAACGGGCGCUAAUACCGCAUACGUCCUGAGGGAGAAAGUGGGGGAUCUUCGGACCUCACGCUAUCAGAUGAGCCUAGGUCGGAUUAGCUAGUUGGUGGGGUAAAGGCCUACCAAGGCGACGAUCCGUAACUGGUCUGAGGGGAUGAUCAGUCACACUGGCAGUGAGACACGGUACCGACUCCUACGGGAGGAAGCAGUGGGGAAUAUUGGACAAUGGGGGAAAGCCUGAUCCAGCAAUGCCGCGUGUGUGAAGAAGGUCUUCGGAUUGUAAAGCAAUUUAAGUUGGGAGGAAGGGCAGUAAGUUAAUACCUUGCUGUUUUGACGUUACCAACAGAAUAAGCACCGGCUAACUUCGUG